ACUCAAAUGAAUUGACGGGGGCCCGCACAAGCGGUGGAGCAUGUGGUUUAAUUCGACGCAACGCGAACAACCUUACCUGGGCUUGAACUACUAGUAGUAGUACUCUGGAAACAGAGGACGAACCGUAAAGUCGGUUGCUAGCAGAGGUGCUGCAUGGCUGUCGUCAGCUCGUGUCGUGAGAUGUUGGGUUAAGUCCCGCAACGAGCGCAACCCUUACCCUAUGUUGCCACGUCCGUAAAGGACAGCACUCUUAGGGAACCGCCUCGGACAACGGGGAGGAAGGUGGGGAUGACGUCAAGUCACCAUGGCCUUUAUGUCCAGGGCUACACACGUGCUACAAUGGCCGGUACAACGAGCAGCAAAUCCGCAAGGAGGAGCAAAUCUCUUAAAGCCGGCCCCAGUUCAGAUUGUGGGCUGCAAUUCGCCCACAUGAAGGUGGAAUCGCUAGUAAUCGGAGAUCAGCUGGCUCCGGUGAAUACGUUCCCGGGCCUUGUACACACCGCCCGU
rnacentral:rRNA from 1 species